UUCUUCAAGGGACAAGGGUGAAAAAACAAAAGGUUCGGUUCCCUUUUCUCUCUCUUCCUGCUCUCUCCGUCUCUCUCCCAAAACCAGAAAAAAGUAUCUGCCUUUCGAUUUCUUUUCUCCACAAUCCUCCGUCCGUGCCUGAUUGUUGUAAUUAGCAUUGCGCGGGCUCUGCGUUUUGUCUGUUUCCUUGUCUGAUCAGUGUUUUGUCUAAGGUUUCAGGAUUCUGUUAGAGAGAGAGAGAGAGAGAGAGAGAGAGAGAGAGAGAGAGAGAGAGGCGUAUAUAUCACAGUCUCUUCUUCAAAACCCUUGUUGGGUCUCGCUGGGGGUUCUUGUUCUAAUCUUGACAUCAAACUGUUUCUUUGGUUCUUUUGUUCGAAGAUUCUGGCUUUCUUCCAUCUGGGCACACCAAUGGGCUAUAAAAGUUGUGAACUUUGAGGAUAAGAGUGGGUUCUCGUUGAUGAUCAUCAGCUGUUUCCCAGACCCAACAUAUGUUUUGAUGAGGGUUUUGCUGUGUAAGAUCCAGUGUCCUUUCAUCUGUUUCUGUAAGCCAUCUCCUCACAUAUACACGGCAGGUUCUCUGAAGUUGGACAACACGCCUCACGUAUCGUCCACAACGGUUGUUUCGGCUAAUGAUGAUCAUCUAGAUGAUACCCAUGAAGGCAAUGAUCAUGUGGAUGGUCAUGGAAAUGAGUUUAGAGAAGACAGUAGGGUAGAUGGAAAGGAAGAGGAAGGUCAAGAUGCUGGUAAGGUUCUCAAGAGCUGUCUAAGAAAGGCGGAUUCGGGUGAGACCGAGAGGGAGAAGAAGAAGAAGAAGGUACAGUGGGUGGAUUUGAUAGGGAAGGAGAUUGCUGAGAUCCGAGAAUUUGAGCCUUGUGAAGAAGAAGAUAUCGGCUAUCAAGGUGGAAAAAGUUGUGUUUGUGUUAUCCUGUGAUCAAUCAUCUCAGUUUUGGAGGGGGAUAGUCCGAAGGUGGCUCUGUUCAUUUUGUUGAUCCAACGUUGGGUUCCAUAUUCAAGGAGGUACAUAUAGAAUCUGCAUCUGUGUUCUUCAGCCAGUCUGCAAUCACUCACCUGACGAUUUUAGAUUCAGAAAAUCUGCAUUCUUUUUCUUGUAUUUCAUCAGUUAAUUCUGAAGUUGGAAAUCAGCGAUGCAGAGAAAGCAAACUUAUGUUGUUCUGUGUUGCCAAACAUUCGGUUAGAUCCAAAGUUGUGAGUUGCAGCCUUGAAAGAGAUUGCAGAUGUUGUCUGAAAGGGCCAUGCUUUCAAGGUUCUUGAUUCCAACUGAAAGCAUAUUAUCUGACAGGUCCAGCAAAGAGUGUAUCUCAUGGCUUUGUUUGCUUUGUUCCAUUUCACUAUCAGCUCAGCCCACUGAACUACGCAAGGAAUGUGAAUAAAUCUGCAGCUGCUGAGUAUGUUAAUGGAGUUCAAAUCAUUCCAGCCAGGUUGCCAUUCUCAACAGGGUUAUUGGCAAAGAACUUGUUGAAAGACACUAGUGUUUGCAGCUGGGUCAGGGCGGAGAUGUAUGGAGCAACGGAUCCGGUUAAGGACUUGUUUCUCAAGCUCGGAAACUGAAGACGGGUGCUGAUGUUGGAGAGAAACGAUGAGAAUCCACCCGCGAGCUGGUUUAUCCCGGAGAUCCAAAUGUUCUUGUUUGUUGAAGUAGUUUAAGUUCCGAGGAAUUGUUUUUUUUUUAAAACCUAACUCAAGGAUCCCGGUUUCUUGAGAAUAGGUCACGGGAACUUCACCUGAAAGCUCACCUGGGGCAAAAGCAGGGAAUUUGUCAUCCACCAAGUAUCAGAACCAUGUGGAGAACUGGAAGCUGGGAAGUUAUCAGGCUGUUCCCUGCAAAGGGCUGUUUCUUGAGAGAGCCAAGACAGACAAAAACUGGCUAAUUUGAAGAGAGACCCUUAGAGCUUUGUUGUGUGAGAGAAUUAUGCUUGCUGAUUUCUUUUCCAGAAAGCCGUCUUGAGAAUUCCCUCCCCUUAGCUCUGUUCCAGCAACAGAGUUGGAGAAAUUCAAGUGGGUUUUCAAACUUAUGUUUGAAGAAAUCAUAUGGAUGGCGAAAGGACAAACAUCUUAUUGAAAA